rnacentral:rRNA from 1 species
AACGCUAGCUACAGGCUUAACACAUGCAAGUCGAGGGGCAGCAUGGUCUUAGCUUGCUAAGGCCGAUGGCGACCGGCGCACGGGUGAGUAACACGUAUCCAACCUGCCGUCUACUCUUGGACAGCCUUCUGAAAGGAAGAUUAAUACAAGACGGCAUCAUGAGUUCACAUGUUCACAUGAUUAAAGGUAUUCCGGUAGACGAUGGGGAUGCGUUCCAUUAGAUAGUAGGCGGGGUAACGGCCCACCUAGUCUUCGAUGGAUAGGGGUUSUGAGAGGAAGGUCCCCCACAUUGGAACUGAGACACGGUCCAAACUCCUACGGGAGGCAGCAGUGAGGAAUAUUGGUCAAUGGGCGCAGGCCUGAACCAGCCAAGUAGCGUGAAGGAUGACUGCCCUAUGGGUUGUAAACUUCUUUUAUAAAGGAAUAAAGUCGGGUAUGUAUACCCGUUUGCAUGUACUUUAUGAAUAAGGGUCGGCUAACUCCGUGCCAGCAGCCGCGGUAAUACGGAGGAUCCGAGCGUUAUCCGGAUUUAUUGGGUUUAAAGGGAGCGUAGAUGGAUGUUUAAGUCAGUUGUGAAAGUUUGCGGCUCAACCGUAAAAUUGCAGUUGAUACUGGAUAUCUUGAGUGCAGUUGAGGCAGGCGGAAUUCGUGGUGUAGCGGUGAAAUGCUUAGAUAUCACGAAGAACUCCGAUUG